CUAACCAGUAUUUUCGCCCCUUCCCAAAAUUACUUCAACGGAAGGUUUCCAGAUGGAUAUGCGGAGCAAAUCCAUCUGGGAGAGUCACGUUAGUGCGUCUCAUCGGCCCAUCUGAUCAGCCUUUAUGGAGACCGCCGAUCAAAUUAUUUAAAGCCUUUAUCGGCCGAUAACGAUCAGUGACCGAUCAAUCGGAGCACCCUUAUGCUAAAUCUUAUUUGUGUGCAACUUUCUCUGCCAGGGAGUAACAAGAGGAGGGUGGAAACCCAGAUGAUGAUGAUCUUCUGGAAUGACUGGCUGAUGGAGGCGGAUGGCUGCUGCUCUUUCGCCAAAAUAAAAUACCAAAUGCUGCGCACUAUUUUGGGAAUUCUCAAAUGAUUGGCUCAGGAACCAGGAAGUAAGUACAAGCUACAGUCUGAACCAAAGUAGUUCUGGAUCGUACCUCUAGGUUUGAAAAGAGAAAAAAUUUACUAAGAUGUUGAUGGAGAGGAACGAUCGUUUAUAGGGAAUGUUACUUCCAUCCUGGAUGACAAAUGAGAAUGAUUUAUUUAUUUAACUGUAAAUGUCUUACUAAUAGUUAUAUACGUUGCGUUUUGCAUUACAGUGUAUCUCCCUUGAAGAAGAAGGCGAUUAUUCACAGGAAGCUGGCUCCCUGGUUUAAUUUAGAGCUGCGUUCUUUUUGUAAAAAAAAAAAA